UACGUAGGGGGCAAGCGUUGUCCGGAUUCAUUGGGCGUAAAGAGCGUGUAGGCGGCCAGGUAGGUCGGUUGUGAAAACUGGAGGCUCAACCUUCAGAGGUCGACCGAAACCAUCUGGCUAGAGUCCGGGAGAGGAGAGUGGAAUUCCCAGUGUAGAGGUGAAAUUCGUAGAUAUUGGGAAGAACACCAGUGGCGAAGGCGGCUAACUGGUCCGGUACUGACGCUGAGGUGCGAAAGCGUGGGGAGCAAACAGG
rnacentral:rRNA from 1 species